rnacentral:rRNA from 1 species
GACGAACGCUGGCGGCGUGCUUAGCACAUGCAAGUCGAACGCUGAAGCUCAGCUUUUGUUGGGUGGAUGAGUGGCGAACGGGUGAGUAACACGUGAGUAACCUGCCCCCUUCUUUGGGAUAACGCCCGGAAACGGGUGCUAAUACUGGAUAUUCACUGGUCUUCGCAUGGGGGUUGGUGGAAAGGGUUUUUCUGGUGGGGGAUGGGCUCGCGGCCUAUCAGCUUGUUGGUGGGGUGAUGGCCUACCAAGGCUUUGACGGGUAGCCGGCCUGAGAGGGUGACCGGUCACAUUGGGACUGAGAUACGGCCCAGACUCCUACGGGAGGCAGCAGUGGGGAAUAUUGCACAAUGGGCGCAAGCCUGAUGCAGCGACGCCGCGUGAGGGAUGGAGGCCUUCGGGUUGUGAACCUCUUUCGCUCAUGGUCAAGCCGCAACAAUGGUUGUGGUGAGGGUAGUGGGUAAAGAAGCGCCGGCUAACUACGUG